GACUCGUUAGUUCAGUGGGAGAACGCUUGCUUGACAGGCAAGAGGUCACUGGUUCAAAUCCAGUACGGGUCA
rnacentral:tRNA from 1 species